UCUCCGUUGGUGGACCAGCGGAGGGAUCAUUACCGAGUUAUCAACUCCCAAAUCCCUGUGAACAUACCCAACGUUGCUUCGGCGGGACCGCCCCGGCGCCCUCGGCGUCCCGGAACCAGGCGCCCGCCGGAGGACCCAAACUCUUGUUUAAACCAUAGUGGCAUAUUCUGAGUCUCACAAGAAAAAUGAAUCAAAACUUUCAACAACGGAUCUCUUGGCUCUG
rnacentral:misc_RNA from 1 species